rnacentral:sRNA from 1 species
CAUGUACAAGUUCUGUACAUGUAAAUCAAGUUUUUCAACACGUCAAACUAUCAGCCGACAAUGCAAAAUAUAUAUGAACAACAUAUGACUUAACUGUGGCCAUUGUACUUAAACUUGUAUUUAAAUUUUUUGGCACUUGUUGCACUUGGUAGUGGGGAACUUGUGCAAAUGCACUCAUGAUUUACACUAAUGGAUAUGUUGAUUCUUAGAAGCUCAUCAGAUAUUCUCUGACAUUUCAUAAAUUCCAAAUUCGGAGGAAAAUUGCAUGAUUGUCACACUAACAUUAACGAUUACAAAAGAAAAGAACUUGAGAGCAGCUAUGACACACAGAUAGACAGAGUCCUUCACAUGGAGUGAAAUAUAAAUAUAUAUAUCUAUCGUUUUUUGGGGGUUUUUUUUCUAUUUAGACUGACUUGUUUUCAAACCGAUUUAUUGUUAUCAAUACUAGGAUUUUAAUUAACAAGAUUGAGAUUGAUUUUAAAUUUCCUUCACUGUCAAAAUCAUACAUUAAGUUUGUAUUUGUUUGUGAAUGUUUCAUGUUACAUUUUACUUCAGUAAAAACAAAUUUUUUUUCUAUUAAAUUAUACUUCAGUUCCUUACGUACCAUAUAUUUAGAUCAAAAUUAUUUUUAUCACAAAUUUUAGCAUAUUAAUGUCACUGUGUUUAGAGAUAUUUUUAAAUUAUUAUGGCAAUACAAUGGAAUUUUAUUUUUUGUUUAUUCCAAGGAAAGCGAUAGACUUUUAACGUAAAGGAUUUUAGGUACACGUACAAAACAGAGACAUGGCCUCAAUUUUUACACGUGUUGGUAUUAUCAGUUGUUGGUCAGAAUCUUUGUGAUAAAUUAGCACAACUUUUCACACGUGUGGUGUGCCUUAGGUAAUACUUUACAUGGAAUCCAUAAAUUAAUUUUUAUUUAAACAGAAAAAAAGAAAUGAAACAAGAAGAAAUGGUGAAAUGUUUUUGGUUUUUUUUCUUUUUAAUAGAGUAACAAACCAUGCUUGGGUAUAUAAAAUGUAUAGAUUCAAAGAUCAAAGAAUUGAAUCAGAUUUCAUUCAUGUAUUUACUUUGCAAAGUACUACGAAAUGAUGUUUGAUUUUUUUUCAUCAAAAACACAAAUUUAGGUGUUGUUUUUUUACAUUCGGGUUUUGAUGUGAUUGAAAAACUAACAUGUUCAUGUAUUAAACACUGUGAAAUAC